rnacentral:rRNA from 1 species
CACGUAGGGCGCAAGCGUUGUCCGGAAUUAUUGGGCGUAAAGCGCGUGUAGGCGGCUAGGUAGGUCCGCUGUGAAAACUUGAGGCUCAACCUCAAGAGGUCGGUGGAAACCAUCUAGCUAGAGUCCGGAAGAGGAGAAUGGAAUUCCUGGUGUAGCGGUGAAAUGCGCAGAUAUCAGGAAGAACACCCGUGGCGAAGGCGGUUCUCUGGGACGGUACUGACGCUGAGACGCGAAAGCGUGGGGAGCGAACAGG